UACCCAUAAGAGGUCCAGCCUGCCCGGUGACAAAGUUUAACGGCCACGGUACCCUAACCGUGCAAAGGUAGCAUAAUCACUUGUUCUUUAAAUAGGGACUUGUAUCAACGGCAUCACGAGGGUUACACUGUCUCCUUUCUCCAUCAGUGAAACUGAUCUCCCCGUGAAGAAGCGGGGAUAAAAAUAUAAGACGAGAAGACCCCAUGGAGCUUUAAGCUCAACAACACCUCUACAAAACACUCCUUUG
rnacentral:rRNA from 1 species